UACCACAUAGCCAUUGGUGCAAAUUAAUUUUACGGGCUCGAUAAAUCCAAAAAAUAAAACUAUUCUUGCUGAAAAUUACUGCAAUACGAAAAUGGCAGGAACGAAAGAGCCGGAAUUAAAAGCGCUGUUUAUUGCGCUUGUCGAAAUUGUGGGUAACAUUUAAAGAAGCCUUUAUGUGAGGGACUUCGAGUGCUCUCAUCUGGAUACAUUAUGUGCCUGGGAUACACAAAGCAGCUAGAAACAAUACAGAAAAAAUUAGCUUACGGCGUUUUGCAAAGCUCACAUACGUGCGAAAUUUCGCACGAAUUAAUUCUUAAAAUAGGAUCUAACUAUCGACAAUGAGUUUUGAACUGCUCCUGUAAAGCAGAAACAGCCGGAAGUAAACACAUUGUUGCUUGUAUACUUCAUCUCAGUCACUUCGGAUUUGCGGAGUACAUAACAUCUACCGACUCCCGGCAAGCAUGAUGAGUGAGUAGAACAGAAAAAACAAAUUUUAGAGGUGCCAAACCGUUUACUCAACUUUGUUGUGGGCGAAGCCUCGGUAUUUCGCUCUCUGUAAUCACUUUCACUUGAUGUGGACUUGCUCAAUUGGAAAGCGCGCCUACCAUAUGUAGGUGAAAAGCGGGUAUAAACAUCUGUUUGUUCUUAUGAAUAUAUAAGGCGUCGUGCAGGGAACGAAUCCUGCGUGGGACA